rnacentral:rRNA from 1 species
UCCGGUUGAUCCUGCCAGAGGUUACUGCUAUCGAGAUUCGACUAAGCCAUGCGAGUUGAAUGUUCUUCGGAACAUGGCGGACUGCUCAGUAACACGUGGACAACCUACCCUUGGGUCCGGCAUAAUCCUGGGAAACUGGGAAUAAUUCCGGAUAGGUCACCGAUGCUGGAAUGCGCGGUGGCCGAAAGCUCCGGCGCCCGAGGAUGGGUCUGCGGCCUAUCAGGUUGUAGUGGGUGUAACGUACCUACUAGCCUACGACGGGUACGGGUUGUGAGAGCAAGAGCCCGGAGAUGGAUUCUGAGACACGAAUCCAGGCCCUACGGGGUGCAGCAGGCGCGAAAACUUUACAAUGCGGGAAACCGUGAUAAGGGGAUCUCGAGUGCCAGCAUAUAAUGUUGGCUGUCCAGAUGCCUAAAAAGCAUUGUUAGCAAGGGCCGGGCAAGACCGGUGCCAGCCGCCGCGGUAACACCGGCGGCCCGAGUGGUAACCGCUAUUAUUGGGUCUAAAGGGUCUGUAGCCGGCCAGGUAAGUCCCUUGGGAAAUCUGGCAGCUCAACUGUCAGGCUGCUAGGGGAUACUGUUUGGCUUGGGACCGGGAGAGGUGAGAGGUACCUUGGGGGUAGGGGUGAAAUCUUGUGAUCCUCGAGGGACCACCAGUGGCGAAGGCGUCUCACCAGAACGGGUCCGACGGUAAGGGACGAAAGCUAGGGGCACGAACCGGAUUAGAUACCCGGGUAGUCCUAGCCGUAAACGAUGCUCGCUAGGUGUCAGUCACGGUGCGACCGUGAUUGGUGCCGUANGGAACCUGUACGCGACCCACUUGGAAUGUAUGCCGCAGGCUGAAAUUUAAGGGAUUGGCGGGGGAGCACUACAACGGGUGAGCCUGCGUUUUAUUGGAAUCCAGCGCGGGAAAUCUCACCGGGGGCGACAGCGAUAUGAAGGUCGGGCUGAGACUUUACCGGUAUAAGCUGAGAGGUGGUGCAUGGCUGUCGUCAGUUCGUAUUGUGAAGCAUCGUGUAAGGUCAGGCAACGAGCGAGACCCACAUCCACAGCUGCCAGCAUAUUCUCGGGAUUGAUGGGUACACUGUGGAGACCGCCGCUGCUAAAGCGGAGNAAGAGUUGGGCAACGUAGGGUCAGUAUGCCCGAAUUCUCCCGGGCUACACGCGGGCUACAAUGGUNGGUACAAUGGCNAUCUACCCGAAAAGGGAAGGGAAUCUCUUUAAAACCAUNCGUAGUUCGGAUGAGGGGCUGCAACUCGCCCUCAUGAAGCUGGAAUCCGUAGUAAUCGCGUUUCAACAGAACGCGGUGAAUACGUCCCUGCUCCUUGCACACACCGCCCGUCAAACCACCCGAGUAGGGUCUGGAUGAGGGUGUGUUUUAUUGACACAUUCGAAUCUGGGCUUUGCAAGGGGGGUU